rnacentral:rRNA from 1 species
CACCAAGUCGACGAUCAGUAGCCGGACUGAGAGGUUGAACGGCCACAUUGGGACUGAGACACGGCCCAGACUCCUACGGGAGGCAGCAGUGGGGGAUAUUGCACAAUGGGGGAAACCCUGAUGCAGCGACGCCGCGUGAGGGAAGACGGCCUUCGGGUUGUAAACCUCUGUCUUAGGGGACGAAGGAAGUGACGGUACCCUGAGAGGAAGCUCCGGCUAACUAC